rnacentral:miRNA from 1 species
GGUCUUGAGUAGGGCGAGAGUG